GGUUGAUAGACCAUCACAAGUUCAUCCAAUGUUUGUGAUCAUGAAAGACCCAAAGUCAUUACCUAAUUGUGUUCAGAUAAUGGACACUAUAUUAGGAACCAUAGAGUCAUUAUAUACAUCUGCUGGGAGAGGUGAUGAGUUUAACAACAUGGCCAGUAUUCCCCUGGGUGGUGAUCAGCUGACACGGGUAACAUUUGAUUCG